rnacentral:tRNA from 1 species
AGAGAUGUAGCUCAGUGGUAGAGCAUACCUGCCUAGCAUGCACCAACUGCCCGGCUUUGAACCCCAGCAUCUCUC